GAUGAACGCUGGCGGCGUGCCUAAUGCAUGCAAGUCGAGCGAACAGACGAGGAGCUUGCUCCUCUGACGUUAGCGGCGGACGGGUGAGUAACACGUGGAUAACCUACCUAUAAGACUGGGAUAACUUCGGGAAACCGGAGCUAAUACCGGAUAACAUGUUGAACCACAUGGUUCAACAGUGAAAGACGGUCUUGCUGUCACUUAUAGAUGGAUCCGCGCCGCAUUAGCUAGUUGGUAAGGUAACGGCUUACCAAGGCAACGAUGCGUAGCCGACCUGAGAGGGUGAUCGGCCACACUGGAACUGAGACACGGUCCAGACUCCUACGGGAGGCAGCAGUAGGGAAUCUUCCGCAAUGGGCGAAAGCCUGACGGAGCAACGCCGCGUGAGUGAAGAAGGUCUUCGGAUCGUAAAACUCUGUUAUUAGGGAAGAACAAAUGUGUAAGUAACUAUGCACGUCUUGACGGUACCUAAUCAGAAAGCCACGGCUAACUACGUG
rnacentral:rRNA from 1 species